rnacentral:rRNA from 1 species
GACAGAGGGUGCAACCGUUGUUCGGAAUUACUGGGCGUAAAGCGAGUGUAGGCGGUCUUCUAAGUCGGAUGUGAAAGCCCCGGGCUCAACCCGGGAAGUGCAUUGGAUACUGGGAAACUUGAAUACGGGAGAGGGUAGUGGAAUUCCUAGUGUAGGAGUGAAAUCCGUAGAUAUUAGGAGGAACACCGGUGGCGAAGGCGGCUACCUGGACCGAUAUUGACGCUGAGACGCGAAAGCGUGGGGAGCAAACAGG